UACGUAGGGACCGAGCGUUGUCCGGAUUCAUUGGGCGUAAAGCGCGCGUAGGCGGCUCCGCAAGUCGGCCGUGAAAUCUCCGGGCUCAACUCGGAGGGGUCGGGCGAGACUGCGGGGCUCGAGGUGGGCAGAGGGCAGUGGAAUUCCGGGUGUAGUGGUGGAAUGCGUAGAGAUCCGGAGGAACACCAGUGGCGAAGGCGGCUGCCUGGGCCUGGCCUGACGCUGAGGCGCGAAAGCGUGGGGAGCGAUCCGG
rnacentral:rRNA from 1 species